UACGGAGGGUGCGAGCGUUGCUCGGAAUCACUGGGCGUAAAGGGCGUGUAGGCGGGAAGGAAAGUCAGAUGUGAAAUCCCUGGGCUCAACCCAGGAACUGCAUUUGAAACUCCCUUUCUUGAGUGUCGGAGAGGAAAGUGGAAUUCCUGGUGUAGAGGUGAAAUUCGUAGAUAUCAGGAGGAACACCGGUGGCGAAGGCGGCUUUCUGGACGACAACUGACGCUGAGACGCGAAAGCGUGGGGAGCAAACAGG
rnacentral:rRNA from 1 species